rnacentral:rRNA from 1 species
AUUGAACGCUGGCGGCAGGCCUAACACAUGCAAGUCGAGCGGAUGAAGGGAGCUUGCUCCUGGAUUCAGCGGCGGACGGGUGAGUAAUGCCUAGGAAUCUGCCUGGUAGUUGGGGAUAACGUCCGGAAACGGGCGCUAAUACCGCAUACGUCCUGAGGGAGAAAGUGGGGGAUCUUCGGACCUCACGCUAUCAGAUGAGCCUAGGUCGGAUUAGCUAGUUGGUGGGGUAAAGGCCUACCAAGGCGACGAUCCGUAACUGGUCUGAGAGGAUGAUCAGUCACUCUGGAACUGAGACACGGUCCAGACUCCGACGGGAGGCAGCAGUGGGGAAUAUUGGACAAUGGGCGAAAGCCUGAUCCAGCCAUGCCGCGUGUGUGAAGAAGGUCUUCGGAUUGUAAAGCACUUUAAGUUGGGAGGAAGGGCAGUAAGUUAAUACCUUGCUGUUUUGACGUUACCAACAGAAUAAGCACCGGCUAACUUCGUG